GGGCCCGCACAAGCGGUGGAGUAUGUGGUUUAAUUCGAUGCAACGCGAAGAACCUUACCAGGGUUUGACAUCCUGCGAAUCUCUUGGAAACAGGAGAGUGCCUUCGGGAACGCAGUGACAGGUGGUGCAUGGCUGUCGUCAGCUCGUGUCGUGAGAUGUUGGGUUAAGUCCCGCAACGAGCGCAACCCACGUCUUUAGUUGCCAGCAUUUAGUUGGGCACUCUAGAGAGACUGCCGGUGAUAAACCGGAGGAAGGUGUGGAUGACGUCAAGUCAUCAUGCCCCUUACAUCCUGGGCUACACACGUACUACAAUGCUACGGACAAGGAGGCAGCUAGUCGGAGACAAG
rnacentral:rRNA from 1 species